rnacentral:ncRNA from 1 species
AGGCAAACCAAUCGAAAGGUUGGGACGCAAAGCCAAGGGUCUAAAGCUCGAAAGAGCAAGGAUAGCCGGUUGCCAU